rnacentral:lncRNA from 1 species
AUAGGGUUAAAACACACACACACACACACACACACACACAACUGUGCAUGUGUAAGCAUACCCACACACCCAGAAGAAAAUAGAAUCCCAUAUCUAGGGAGAUUACAGAAUGGUGGAAUUAAAAAUAACUUUCCCUGGUUCAUUUGACCAAGCAUGCGAUAAGUUUCAAAUGAAGACUGAUCUGUCACUGUAGGUUAUCUUCCAUUAGUCCCUUCAGUCCCACUAUCUCUGUCUGGUUCUCUAGGUCACAGAAUGUACAAGUAAUAUUAGCAGACUGUAUUGUACCCCUAGCUUCCCACUGAGUUCUUCAAAUGAAGAACUCCUGAGUGACAUCAGAGGAAAGCAGAAAAGUAAGGGUCCAGAUGCUUGCCUAAUUAAUAGAGACAACAUCAACCAGAUAAGGCACCACUCUUUACAAAAAUACUCACCAGAAGACCCAAGGGCUAUAAAAAGAGUGACUACUAGCUAAACAUAGUCACCUCAAUAGACACUGUCUUGCUGUUACUUGCAGUCAGCACCUGGCAUCUGCUGCAGACAUCUCUGCCCAAAUCAAGGACUCUUCCUCGCAAGGUUUUUACAACCAUUGAGAUCAGCUUGAGAUACUCUGCUUGUCCACCUCAGUCUCCUCAGACUGGUUCAUUAAUCCUUUUUUUUUUCCUAUCAUUUUUUUUUCUUUUGAUGUCAGAUGUUACUUUGUUUUAUGAGAAAAUUUUAAAGGAAAAAUUUUGCAUAAUUUGUGAUGUAGAAAUAUUUUACUUAAGCUGUUUAUAUAACUCUGACUUUUUCCUUGGAGACCUGCUGUACAAGCUUUCUAUCCUUCCCUUCGUCUUUGAUCUAAUGCUGUCGGAAAUUCAUUUACAUUUCAGACUCUCUGGUUAAAUACAUGUCCUUUGGGUUAUGAAGAAUUGUGAGAUGACAGAAUUGGACAUAAAUGUAUAAAUUUCAUAAUCUAUUGAAGUAUUGGUUACUUCAUUUCACCCACUUAUUUUAAGUAC